AGAGUUUGAUCAUGGCUCAGAUUGAACGCUGGCGGCAGGCCUAACACAUGCAAGUCGAGCGGUAGCACAGAGAGCUUGCUCUCGGGUGACGAGCGGCGGACGGGUGAGUAAUGUCUGGGAAACUGCCCGAUGGAGGGGGAUAACUACUGGAAACGGUAGCUAAUACCGCAUAAUGUCGCAAGACCAAAGAGGGGGACCUUCGGGCCUCUUGCCAUCGGAUGUGCCCAGAUGGGAUUAGCUAGUUGGUGAGGUAACGGCUCACCAAGGCGACGAUCCCUAGCUGGUCUGAGAGGAUGACCAGCCACACUGGAACUGAGACACGGUCCAGACUCCUACGGGAGGCAGCAGUGGGGAAUAUUGGACAAUGGGCGAAAGCCUGAUCCAGCCAUGCCGCGUGUGUGAAGAAGGUCUUCGGAUUGUAAAGCACUUUAAGUUGGGAGGAAGGGGUUAAGGUUAAUAACCUUAGCCAUUGACGUUACCCGCAGAAGAAGCACCGGCUAACUCCGUGCCAGCAGCCGCGGUAAUUC
rnacentral:rRNA from 1 species